rnacentral:sRNA from 1 species
GCUAUAUACAUAAAUCUUGUGUUUCAUAUCAUGGAUACUUCUGCAAUGAUUCUCUAGUCGAUGGAGCCUAUCCAUCCACACUUCCCACUUCUUCAAUUUCCAACCCUCCUGUCGCUUUGGCCUACGCACAACACCAGCCUUUCUGAAUGCAUCCAACCGUACAAGCGACUUCACAAACAUAAAGCAUUGCAUGUUGUUGCGGGGGCUGAAUCUCAAUUGCUUCACUAACUUGCUCGACUCAAUCUCAGAAUUCUUCCCCAUCAACUCAUAGAAAUAUAGGUUCUUAUUAAAAUCAUGCAAGAUAAUCUUAUCACCGCAGAUCCAAUGUGGUCCUGGAACUUCAAGCAUUGAUAAGCGAAUGUUGUACUUCUGACUCCAGCUUUGCUCUAUCUUGCUGUCAAUUGUCCAGAUAUGCAGCUUCCCUGUCUCGUAAUAGCUUACAGACACAUUGCUAUCAACCUCUGUAAUCAGCCACUGGUCAGGAUCACCAAGCACAUAGUUUGCAGGAUCAACUGCUGGGAGCUGUAACCACUGGAAAAGUUCUUCACUGAGAUCAAAGGUCACAACUGCAUGUUUCCAAACACUUUCCUCAUCUUCAGUCAGCCAAUACAUUGCCCCACCAACAUUGACAACUCCAGAUCUUUCCACACAUCUCAAGCUUAAAGCCUGUGGAGUUCUAACAUCUCUCCAUUUCUCAUCACCGAGUGUGUAAACUUGAAUUAUGCUGAAGCUAGUACCAACAUGGAGGUGCUCGUCACGAAGAAAGUGCAUUACCUUGUAUUGUUUUGUCACUGGGUGAAACCCAAAGCUGUAAUAAGAGAAGUGAUCAGUCUUUGAGUUCCUGACAGGUUUUACUAGAUGCAUACAUUCACCAGUUGCAAGGUUGGCUAUCUUGAUUGUUGAUUUAUCCGAGUGUAAACAAAUAAGUCCAUUGCAUGAAGCACAUAAAAAAUCAUCAGGCUCGAUCACAGGUACAACCCAUUUUGAUGGUGACCAUGCUUCAUCAAAGAGGAUUGCUUCACUAGGGUAGAGGAGAUGGACUAAAUUCUCUCGUUGAAAGAAAAAUAGGGGGCGACGCGGCGCACGCUGGAUGUGCACCAUGGCAAACUGAGGAUCCCGAAUAAUGCCAUCCCAUUGCUUGCAGACACCACGGCACCUCAGCAGAGUGCUUACCGGAAGCCUCAGAAGUAUCAGUUCAACAAUGUCUUGCGGCAACAAGGUCAUGCAAAUUUUCUUGCUUGGCUGCAUUGCCAAGGCUUUCUUAGAAGCCAUGGUUUGCUCCUAGGAUCUACCAGAUCUUCCUGAAAGCAAUAAUUUCACAAAAUUUCAGAACAAACCUAAUCGAGGAACGUAUAAAC